CCUACGGGCGGCAGCAGUGAGGAAUAUUGGUCAAUGGACGCAAGUCUGAACCAGCCAUGCCGCGUGCAGGAAGACGGCUCUAUGAGUUGUAAACUGCUUUUGUACGAGGGUAAAUCCCGAUACGUGUCUCGGGUUGAGAGUAUCGGACGAAUAAGCAUCGGCUAACUCCGUGCCAGCAGCCGCGGUAAUACGGAGGAUUCAAGCGUUAUCCGGAUUUAUUGGGUUUAAAGGGUGCGUAGGCGGAAUAUCAAGUCAGCGGUAAAAAUCCGGGGCUCAACCCCGUCGUGCCGUUGAAACUGAUGUUUUUGAGUGGGCGAGAAGUAUGCGGAAUGCGUGGGGUAGCGGUGAAAUGCAUAGAUAUCACGCAGAACUCCGAUUGCGAAGGCAGCAUACCGGCGCCCCACUGACGCUGAAGCACGAAAGCGUGGGUAUCGAACAGGAUUAGAUACCCCAGUAGUC
rnacentral:rRNA from 1 species